AUGAAAGUCAAUCUCCACGUGAUUAGUGCGGGCAUGAAAUACAAUAUUGAUGGAAAAAUAUGCAACUCCUAAGUUGUUACCCCAAAGAUCACGAGGGCUGCAGACUGAAACGUCAAGUUCAGACAACAAAGAUUGAAGUCAAGUAAGCUCAGCUACACCAUUGACAACGGCAACAAUGAUUGCUGUUUAGAGGACCAGGAAACCAGUGCUUUUCCUAAAUAAAUAACAUAACUACGG
rnacentral:lncRNA from 1 species